UUAUUGACUGGUGUGGAUCUAAUGAGGUGGAUUUAUUAUUUUUGAAAUUCUUUUUCUGAUAUUAGGCUUAUUAUUUUCAAAAUUAAAUUAAGGGUAUUGAUGUCUAAAGGGUUGAUCGUGGUUUGGAAGGGAGAUCUGCAAGAUUGGGAAGAACAUCAGUGAAUGGCCCUAACACCACCCCAUAGUCCAACGUUGUCAAAGAUAUCGCCACUGGUCGUACCCAUCAUCUCCUCCAUUGUCCCAAACUUGUGCCACCACCAUCAAUUAAAAUCCAAAAACGNAAGAACCAGNACCCCUAACUCCAAAUUUCAAAAAAAAAAAAAAAGAACACAAGUACAGAAAAUCCCCAAAAUCCAAUUUGAAAUCAAAGAUAACUCCUCCAAUCGCAACAUCAGAAAAACCAAGAACAGAAACC
rnacentral:lncRNA from 1 species